UGGAAUCUAACGUUGAGGCUCAAGAAGGCGGAGGAUUGGUGAAUGUCGCACACCAAGGCAGGCCUGCAUAUCAGUUGGACCACUGUGGAGAACACUCUGCAAGCAAAGGUCCAGUCAAGUGAUCACCACGGGGACACCCAACCGUGAGGCAGAUCCAGACAGUUGAUUUGUGCUGACGCAAGGUCAUGGGACAAGCAUUUAGUAAGCAAGAUUUAUUUAUUUCAGGACUUAAACAGUCUCUCAAGACACAAGGAACAAGUGUAAAAAAGAAAGAUAUUUUAAAAGUUUCUUGCUUAUAUUGGGGAUCUUUGUCCCU
rfam:Neotoma lepida isolate 417 scaffold_4149, whole genome shotgun sequence.